GUGUCAGCAGCCGCGGUAAUACGAAGGGGGCUAGCGUUGCUCGGAAUCACUUGGCUUAAAGCGUGCGUAGGCGGCUCAGAAAGUUGGGUGUGAAAUCCCUCGGCUCAACCGAGGAAUUGCGCUCAAAACUACUGAGCUCGAGGGAGUUAGAGGUGAGCGGAACUAAUGGUGGAGCGGUGAAAUGCGUUGAUAUCAUUAGGAACACCGGUGGCGAAAGCGGCUCACUGGGACUCUUCUGACGCUGAGGCACGAAAGCUAGGGUAGCGAACGGGAUUAGAUACCCCGGUAGUCCUAGCUGUAAACGAUGAGCACUGGGUCGGAGAACCCUCCACAGUUUUCCGGCCGUAGCGAAAGUGUUAAGUGCUCCGCCUGGGGAGUAUGGUCGCAAGGCUGAA
rnacentral:rRNA from 1 species